GCCCCUAUAGCUCAGUGGUAGAGCGUUGCACUUGUAAUGCAAAGGCCCAUCGUUCAAGUCGGUGUGGGGGCA